rnacentral:rRNA from 1 species
GGUUAAGCGACUAAGCGUACACGGUGGAUGCCCUGGCAGUCAGAGGCGAUGAAGGGCGUGCUAAUCUGCGAUAAGCGCCGGUAAGGUGAUAUGAACCGUUAUAACCGGCGAUACCCGAAUGGGGAAACCCAGUGUGAUUCGUCACACUAUCAUUAACUGAAUCCAUAGGUUAAUGAGGCGAACCGGGGGAACUGAAACAUCUAAGUACCCCGAGGAAAAGAAAUCAACCGAGAUUCCCCCAGUAGCGGCGAGCGAACGGGGAGGAGCCCAGAGCCUGAAUCAGCAUGUGUGUUAGUGGAAGCGUCUGGAAAGGCGCGCGAUACAGGGUGACAGCCCCGUACACAAAAGCGCAUGUGCUGUGAGCUCGAUGAGUAGGGCGGGACACGUGGUAUCCUGUCUGAAUAUGGGGGGACCAUCCUCCAAGGCUAAAUACUCCUGACUGACCGAUAGUGAACCAGUACCGUGAGGGAAAGGCGAAAAGAACCCCGGCGAGGGGAGUGAAAAAGAACCUGAAACCGUGUACGUACAAGCAGUGGGAGCACAGGUUUACCUGUGUGACUGCGUACCUUUUGUAUAAUGGGUCAGCGACUUAUAUUCUGUAGCAAGGUUAACCGAAUAGGGGAGCCGGAGGGAAACCGAGUCUUAACCGGGCGUUAAGUUGCAGGGUAUAGACCCGAAACCCGGUGAUCUAGCCAUGGGCAGGUUGAAGGUUGGGUAACACUAACUGGAGGACCGAACCGACUAAUGUUGAAAAAUUAGCGGAUGACCUGUGGCUGGGGGUGAAAGGCCAAUCAAACCGGGAGAUAGCUGGUUCUCCCCGAAAGCUAUUUAGGUAGCGCCUCGUGAAUUCAUCUCCGGGGGUAGAGCACUGUUUCGGCUAGGGGGCCAUCCCGGCUUACCAACCCGAUGCAAACUGCGAAUACCGGAGAAUGUUAUCACGGGAGACACACGGCGGGUGCUAACGUCCGUCGUGAAGAGGGAAACAACCCAGACCGCCAGCUAAGGUCCCAAAGUCAUGGUUAAGUGGGAAACGAUGUGGGAAGGCCCAGACAGCCAGGAUGUUGGCUUAGAAGCAGCCAUCAUUUAAAGAAAGCGUAAUAGCUCACUGGUCGAGUCGGCCUGCGCGGAAGAUGUAACGGGGCUAAACCAUGCACCGAAGCUGCGGCAGCGAACGUAUCACUUAAAGCGAUUCAGCGGGUUACGAUUGACGGAGCGAAGCGACGUCAAAGCGUAUACAAAGUCGAGUCGGUUUAAGGAUACGUUCGUUGGGUAGGGGAGCGUUCUGUAAGCCUGCGAAGGUGGCCUGUGAGGGUUGCUGGAGGUAUCAGAAGUGCGAAUGCUGACAUAAGUAACGAUAAAGCGGGUGAAAAGCCCGCUCGCCGGAAGACCAAGGGUUCCUGUCCAACGUUAAUCGGGGCAGGGUGAGUCGACCCCUAAGGCGAGGCCGAAAGGCGUAGUCGAUGGGAAACGGGUUAAUAUUCCCGUACUUGGUGUUACUGCGAAGGGGGGACGGAGAAGGCUAUGUUGGCCGGGCGACGGUUGUCCCGGUUUAAGCGUGUAGGUGUGUGUUCCAGGUAAAUCCGGUUCACUUUAACACUGAGGCGUGAUGACGAGGCACUACGGUGCUGAAGUAACAAAUGCCCUGCUUCCAGGAAAAGCCUCUAAGCAUCAGGUAACAUCAAAUCGUACCCCAAACCGACACAGGUGGUCAGGUAGAGAAUACCAAGGCGCUUGAGAGAACUCGGGUGAAGGAACUAGGCAAAAUGGUGCCGUAACUUCGGGAGAAGGCACGCUGACACGUAGGUGAAGUGAUUUACUCACGGAGCUGAAGUCAGUCGAAGAUACCAGCUGGCUGCAACUGUUUAUUAAAAACACAGCACUGUGCAAACACGAAAGUGGACGUAUACGGUGUGACGCCUGCCCGGUGCCGGAAGGUUAAUUGAUGGGGUCAGCGCAAGCGAAGCUCCUGAUCGAAGCCCCGGUAAACGGCGGCCGUAACUAUAACGGUCCUAAGGUAGCGAAAUUCCUUGUCGGGUAAGUUCCGACCUGCACGAAUGGCGUAAUGAUGGCCAGGCUGUCUCCACCCGAGACUCAGUGAAAUUGAACUCGCUGUGAAGAUGCAGUGUACCCGCGGCAAGACGGAAAGACCCCGUGAACCUUUACUAUAGCUUGACACUGAACAUUGAGCCUUGAUGUGUAGGAUAGGUGGGAGGCUUUGAAGUGUGGACGCCAGUCUGCAUGGAGCCGACCUUGAAAUACCACCCUUUAAUGUUUGAUGUUCUAACGUGGACCCGUUACCCGGGUUGCGGACAGUGUCUGGUGGGUAGUUUGACUGGGGCGGUCUCCUCCUAAAGAGUAACGGAGGAGCACGAAGGUUGGCUAAUCCUGGUCGGACAUCAGGAGGUUAGUGCAAUGGCAUAAGCCAGCUUGACUGCGAGCGUGACGGCGCGAGCAGGUGCGAAAGCAGGUCAUAGUGAUCCGGUGGUUCUGAAUGGAAGGGCCAUCGCUCAACGGAUAAAAGGUACUCCGGGGAUAACAGGCUGAUACCGCCCAAGAGUUCAUAUCGACGGCGGUGUUUGGCACCUCGAUGUCGGCUCAUCACAUCCUGGGGCUGAAGCAGGUCCCAAGGGUAUGGCUGUUCGCCAUUUAAAGUGGUACGCGAGCUGGGUUUAGAACGUCGUGAGACAGUUCGGUCCCUAUCUGCCGU